CACAAUGUGUUUCAAGCAUUGAUACGAUGAAUACUCUGCGUGCAUUGUGUUGUAGGUCACGGAGGGAAUCCAGAGCGUUGCCGCCGAGAUCAGUGAGCUCCAGCUGAUGGCUGAGAAUCAAGCCGGUCCGGAGAUGACCGGAGAGCAGGACAACGACAGCAACCAGCCCCGUGCAGUCACUGCUGAAGGCGAUGCACCCCAGACUGCAGACUUGGAGCUCUCCUGCAGCGGUCUGACUGAACUUGAUCUCGGUGCAGAUGAGGUUUUCGUUGUAUCACCAGCUGCUUGCCUAAGCCGGCUGCCCUUCUACCCUCAUGCUGUAAGAACCUGUUGGAUGUUAACAGUAAUGCCUGCUGUACCUUACGAAAGACUUUCCAUAACUUGUCCCACAGUCACAGAUGUCAAUGUGUUUUGGGGAAUGGGGAAUUAUUUGAUAGACUGACACAAAGUAGUGUGCAAGACCAACUCUCUGCUGGAGUGCAAAAUACUGCAAUGACUGCCAUUGGUUUUAAUUGUCAACACUAUGACAACUAGAUAACAAGGUCCAAGGGGGAUCACAUUUAACAGGUCAGGAAAAAGUUUUAAUUAAAAAUAGUGAGGGACAGGGAAGUAGUAUAGCUAUGUUAGCUUGACUUUGACUACUUUAGCAUGUAGAUGUGAAUUCAGCGUGUUUCAGUUCAGUAAAAUAAAAAUAAAAAAGGUGAACCACACACACCAACUCUGACAGAUCAUCAGUAGAGCAGCUGUUUAAAUUGGCUAAUGAACCACUGCUGUGUCACUAAUUAACAGAAUUGUUCUACCAAGGCAGAGCGGCUAUGGAUAGGAAAUAAAAGAAUAGUCUUCUGGCCCUCCAGUGUUGUGCGUGAAAUUUGAAGAUGCAAACGGUAACUUGCCUACAGUUGUGAAGUGGAAGCAAAAUGUAUAAGUUUUUUCUUUUCCACAAUGAGGGGAGAAAAAAUCCUGAAAUUUGUGACAUGCAUUAGUACUCAGCCUUUUUUUUCACUACAAUUACAUCAAUAACAUUUUAGCAACUGUCAGUAAAUAUCUCAGUUUUUCUGAUUUGCUGUGUAUUAUUACUUUAAAGUUGUAUCAACAAGAUGACCAAAGUCAAAAGCAUAUGAUGCGACAUAAAAUUUAUUCAAGUCAUGAAAACGGGUAACAUUUUAUGGCAAUGACUGGUUUUAAAAGGCUGAAAAACGGCGGCCAUUUUGAUAAACGACCAAUGUCCUGAAAUUCGAGUGGCUCACGGGAAUUAUGACAAACAUACAGCGUGAGGGGUGAGAAUACAAAUUUUUAAGCUUGUAUCCACACUUGAAAAAUGUUUACAGUAUUGUGCUGCACUGAAAAGGACAGGCAAUCUACAUGGACUCUUAGCACACAUGUUGCUUUAAGCUAACUUCAGUUAGCUUAAAGUCUCACUGAAGUUAGCUUAAAGCAAUAAAAAGAGAUUUCCCCCCCCUCCCCCUUGACUUUUGUUGCCAUUGUAGAACAAAACCCCAUAGCUCUUCCUGAGCUCCUGACCCCGUUCCUCUAGUAGCACCAGCGCGCUAACAUUGGUUCUCCGAUGUGAAAUGACGAGAAUGGCGCUGAAUGCUUAUCCGCUAACCAGGGGCGUGACACGGCUGUGAAUUCCUCACCGUGCUGCCUCAUUUUGCACGCUGGUUCAAAGGUCUCUGCCCAAACGCGAUGCUGUAAGGACGAGAGCAAAAAAAGUUUAUGUAAUCGCAGCGGCGGACCCCUCAGUUCUGUGUUUCGACCCGCUAAUGUGGAAAAGUUCCCAGAACAAAUGAACAUCGGAGGUGGCAGAGCGUUGGCUUUUUCUUUUUCUUUUUUUCCUCUGAACUGACCUAAUGUUCCCAAUCAGACUGAUACGAUUAUUCUGACGUACGCAAGGUACUAAAACUAUGUCGGCUAUGAGGACAUGAAUGUGAAAUGAGGAUAAUUAAGAGGAGGAGGAGUUUUGAGGAAGCGGGCGCUUUUUUCUUUCUUUUUUUGCUCUCUUUUGUGCUCUUUUGGAAUAAGAGUUGGCAUAAAACAACUCUGGCAGCUUUUUUGAAGGACUGGCAGGCUUUUCUGCAGCCUAGGCUAAUGGAGCAUUAUCUUCAGAGCCAGAUUCCCAGCUCAAAGUGUGUGUGUGUGUUGCUGUGUUGUGCCGCUGCACGCUUUGACACACAGUGUGUGGUCUGCCUGUGUGUGUCCUCAUUCAGAAAACCAGUAAUGUUUGGUAAAUGUUACAUGAGAACGACGCAUUGCAGAAAUAAUUAGUGGGGGUAGAAGGUAGAUGUUCGUGCAAGCAUCAUUAACUGCCGUGUUUUAAAUGCUUCGACUUUGAUUUGACAUUUUUGCUGUUGUAAAAAGAAAAAAAAAAAA